AAUCUGCAAAACCUUUACUCCGAUUAUCUAUUUGUGCUCUGACAAAUCCUAGAAUGAAAAGCUUAAUGUGAAUGAUUUUACUGAAGUUGGGGUCUUGUAUUUAUUUUGUUCUUUCAAGGAACGAGUACUUUAAAACUUACAGUGAAGGUGGGGAGGGGCCUUACAACAAGUCCAUUGUAGUGUUGGAAGCUUUACAGUAUUCUCUUUUUUUUUUUUACUUAACUUGGAGAAGCUCACGGCACUCUCUACACACUUUUUUUUUGCCUUUGGUUACUGCCGUGCACCUACUAUCAGGAAUUUGAAUUCCGACGACACCAAACGAGAUUUGAAAAGGGAUCUGUUAUACAAUACCCAAGCAACUCUGAAAAGAAUAAGUAUUGGCAGUUUCUGCAAUUCACUCCUUCUAUGAGAGAGAGAGAGGGAGAGAAAAAUCAUUGUCUUGUUUAACUCUUUCAUGGACAGAAAAGCCAGCAACGGGUUCGUUGACUUUUGCAUUGUAUUUGGCACCGUAGAUAUUCCAGAAAGGUAACUUGCCAUCUGUAUUUGGUAUACGGCAGCAAAACUAGUGUAGGAAAUGCAAGAAAGUGUUAGCAGCCAAGAGGUUAAUACUUUGCAAAGUCCAGCAAGAUAUUUAUUUUACUCUUUCUUUUAUGUGGGGAGAACUUUCCAAAAAUGGAUUUUAUUAGCCCCCUUUCAAUUAGAAAGGGGUUUCUCCGUCUUUCUUUCUAUUUUUGUUUUUUUUUUUCUUUCUCUGCACGAAUGAAUCAGAUUUUACUCAGGACAACUCCACAUUCCUAGUCGUCAUUCUAUUAAGCAGCCACGAUUCCAUCCCCGGCUGAUGGGCAGAGAAAGUGGGCAGUUUGCCAGGUAGACGUUUCCAUGACUCCCAUCCCCCAUAGGUGAUGCUUUUUUUUUUUUUUUUUCUUUCCCAGCUAAUUUAAUGAAGAGUGGGCUGAGCGGAGAGUAUACAGUAAAGCUAGACAAUAGCAGCCUUCGUAAUAUCAGCCGAAUGGUUUAUGGGAAUGCACUUGGCAGAGGAUCAUGUGACCUUACGGCUGUGAUUUUGUGUUGGUGCCAAGGGGACAUGGAAAGCAGCACCCGUGCUGACUUUUUUUUUCUUUCAUGGCUCAGAAAAUGGCGGAUCUUAAUACUUGACUUUAACCAGACUCAGCAAGCGAUUCAGCUUUGAAGCACAACUUUGCUUUUAUUCUGGCUUUUUUGGCAGGUCACCAGGAGGCUGUCCCUUUCACGCCUGAUCAUUUUUUUGCUGCUUAUCUUCAUAUGGAAAAAAAGGACAAUAUAAGCAGUAUUAGCUACUAAUAACCAAUUUUUGUGGACGUGCAGUGCAUGGCUCAUCUCGUUGAAUCCUUACAUCGUUUUCAGUAACAGAAACUUUUCUUCUAGUCUUGUAAAGAGCCGGCUGAUAAAGCGGGCAAAGCAUGAGCUCAUUUCUCUACAGUGCAGCACGCUGGCACCCUGCCUCUUUGACCCCUUUGCUCCCGCAGAUCUGGGAUUUCUCUUUUGCUAAAAGUAAUUUCUGGAUUUUUCCCACCUAUGUCGCCGUUCAGGCUCGUGCCGCAAGGAUUGGUGCAGAUUUUGCGCAGUGCUUUGUGCUUGGAAUUCUAAAAAAGAACUGAGUGUGGGAAAAAAAUCUUUGUGUGCCAUGGUCCUUUUUCUUUUUUUUUUUAGAAAGAGUUUGAAAAUGUUACAAAAAAGUAAGGUUUUUAUAUCAACAGAAGUGUCAAGAGACAUUCUUAACCUUCCAACCCCACCACUUUCACUUUUUUUUUUAAUGGUGCCUUUGCACCUAUGUGACUCUACCAUUUGCUAUUGGAUAAAAGGCAGUGCAUAAACAAAGAGGCAUGAAUUUAAGGAAAAGACAGAUGCCCUCCAUUCUGGACGCAAACCAAGCAAAUCCUAUAAUGAAGUGGAGGCGGGAGAGCACCUGCUGGAAGAUUAAUUGAGAUUCCCAGCUUCAUGUUGCCCUAGAUACAACCAGUGGAAGCAAAUCUCAGGAUGUCAUCAAAGCAAGCUUGACGCCCCGAUGAGGAGCCCUCAGGCUUUUAUGCUUUUGAGAAGAUCUCUGCAACAACGCCUGCUCUGUAGACCGGAAUUCCUUCAAUCGACGGAGCAAGUCGGGCCGCAAUGACAUUUGAUAUUCCUGUACUUUCGAAAAGAGGGGAUUCUCCUGUUUUUAUUGGGAAUGAUAAGCCUGAUAUAGAAACAGUAAGGGAUAUGAAUCUGCCGGAUCGUGAUAGACCUUCUAAAAUGCAAGCCCCCUGGUGAUAGGAAAUAUUGUUUUGAAUUUGGUCUGUUGUUUCCUGUAUCAACAGUGUAUGUGCCCCGGAUCUAUGCUGCAUCUGCCUGUAACGUGAAGAGGGUUUUUAUCACAUCCACUUGUAGAUUAAAAUAGGAAACCCAGGAUGAAAAUUGCAUUAUCUUUCCUCUGGAGUAAUAAUGCUUCCAGCACUAUAAAGCCCUGGGCCCACGUUAGCUACAGGGUAACAAUUUACAUCCCGAAAUUCAAUGUUUGUGCUUUUAAGAUGCAAUAGUAUGCAAGACAACGAAUAUCUCUGCCCAGUUUUUUCCAAAAUAAUGUCCCAGCUCUCUGUGUAGUGCUUUCUCCUGGGCAUGAUUAUUUAAUGUCAAUAUUCUGAAUGCCACGCAUUCGUGUAAUUGCAAUUGUCUCACAGAAGCCAAGUGUUUGCAGUGUCCACUAUGGAGGAAGAAAACCCACGGACUGAAGUUGGACUUUUCCUAGUCCCUGAGACCCUAACUUGUGAGGAUUUUUUAGCAACAAUCACAAGUUAGGCUCUUGGGACCUAGGCGGAGGGGAAACAGCAGCUUUGGACUGUAUUGCGAUUUGAGUAAAACCCUGUAACCGUGUCUGAGAUGAAAACGAAAAAAAAAAAAAUCUCUUGUUCAAAAAGGGUCUUCGGUUAUUUUCAAAAAGUGUUUUCUAUUGUAAAAUAAAAAAGAGAAUAUAUAAAAAUAUAUCUGUAUAAAACUGUAUUGUCUGUGCUUCCCAAACCUAAUACACUGCUAUAUAUUUCCCCUGCCAAAGAUGCGGAUAUUUUUAAAGGUAAAAUACAAAGCAAUGGCAGGUAGAAUUCUUGGUCUGGCUAUUGUCUGCGAGAGCUGUCAGCAACUGUCAGCUGCUUAGCCUUUCUUGUAAUACGCUAUUAAAGUUAUUGAAACGUCUUCAAAUGAUUUGUUAUUGAUACAGAUUCAAAUGCAACACCAACGCAAUAAAUGUCAAUGAUUUUCAUUUGAAAAAAUGGGCUCGAUUUUUUUUUUUAUUGGAUUAUUUUCCGCUGGUUUGAAUGUGUCUAAAUAAAAAUGUUUGUGUUUCAAA